CGGUGAAUACCGGUUCCCGGACCUUGUACACACCGCCCGUCAAGCCAUGGAAGCUGGGUGUACCUAAAGUCGAUAACCGCAAGGAGUCGCCUAGGGUAAAACUAGUAACUGGGGCU
rnacentral:rRNA from 1 species